rnacentral:misc_RNA from 1 species
AUCAUCUAACGAUGUUAAUUC